UGGUGAUUCAUAAUAACUUAACGAAUCGCAUGGGCUUGUUGCGGCGAUGGUUCAUUCAAAUUUCUGCCCUAUCAACUUUCGAUGGUAGCGUAGUGGGCUACCAUGGUUUCAACGGGUAACGGGGAAUUAGGGUUCUAUUCCGGAGAGGGAGCCUGAGAAACGGCUACCACAUCCAAGGAAGGCAGCAGGCGCGCAAAUUACCCAAUCCCGACACGGGGAGGUAGUGACAAUAAAUACUGAUACAGGGCUCUUUUGGGUCUUGUAAUUGGAAUGAGUACAAUUUAAAUCCCUUAACGAGGAACAAUUGGAGGGCAAGUCUGGUGCCAGCAGCCGCGGUAAUUCCAGCUCCAAUAGCGUAUAUUAAAGUUGUUGCAGUUAAAAAGCUCGUAGUUGAACCUUGGGCCUUGGUGGCCGGUCCGCCUCACCGGUGCACUGGUCCGGCCGGGCCUUUCCUUCCGGGAAGCCCGAUGCCCCUUCACUGGAGUGUGUCA
rnacentral:rRNA from 1 species